rnacentral:rRNA from 1 species
GACCGGCGCAAGGGUGCGUAACGCGUGAGCAACAUGCCCGUAUCAGGGGGAUAAUCCAGGGAAACUUGGUCUAAUACCCCAUAGUAAUUAUCGGAGGCAUCUCUGAUAAUUUAAAGCUUUGGUGGAUACGGAUUGGCUCGCGUGACAUUAGCUAGAUGGUAAGGUAACGGCUUACCAUAGCUAUGAUGUCUAGGGGUUCUGAGAGGAAGGUCCCCCACACUGGAACUGAGACACGGUCCAGACUCCUACGGGAGGCAGCAGUGAGGAAUAUUGGACAAUGGAUGGAAAUCUGAUCCAGCCAUGCCGCGUGAAGGAAGAAUGUCCUAUGGAUUGUAAACUUCUUUUGUAUGGGAGCAAUAAGGUCUUCGUGAAGACUGAUGAGAGUACCAUACGAAUAAGCAUCGGCUAACUCCGUGCCAGCAGCCGCGGUAAUACGGAGGAUGCGAGCGUUAUCCGGAUUUAUUGGGUUUAAAGGGUGCGUAGGCUGUUAUAUAAGUCAGUGGUGAAAUAUUCGGGCUCAACCGGGAUACUGCCAUUGAUACUGUAUAGCUGGAAUAUGGUUGCUGUGAGUGGAAUGUGUGGUGUAGCGGUGAAAUGCAUAGAGAUCACACAGAAUAUCGAUUGCGAAGGCAACUCACAAAGCCAUUAUUGACGCUGAUGCACGAAAGUGUGGGGAUCAAACAGGAUUAGAUACCCUGGUAGUCCACACUGUAAACGAUG